ensembl:lncRNA
ACACACACACACACACACACACACACACACACACACACACACACACACACACACACACACACACACACACACUCCCCUCUUACCACUUGAUUCACCCUCUAAGUAUGUGCAAAUCUCAAAUACAAUGUGUUUGACAACGGCCGAGGAAUCCAAAAAUAGAUACUAUAUAUAGAUAGAUAUACAGUAUAAGUAUAUCUAUGUUUAGGACUAAUACUAAUACAUAUACUAAUAUGAAGUUAUAUAUAUGUACGAAUUCUGAAGCGUUCAGGAAUGCGGGGUAUUUACAGUAUGUUUGUAAACGGAGAGGAAUAGUUCCUAUUGUAAGGAACAGAGUUCGGUAAAGAACAGCGUUGGGGUAAAGAACAGCGUUCCGUAAAGAACAGAGUUCGGUAAAGAACAGCGUUCCGUAAAGAACAGCGUUCCGUAAAGAACAGAGUUCGGUAAAGAACAGGCCCCUACCCCCACCUCCCCUACUGAUGAGCCCAGAGGUGCUUCCGGCUCGGUCUAGCUGCAGCGACCUCAAUAAUGAAAGUUACCAAAAUAGCCUCUCGCUGCAACGUUCAGUGUUACUGAGGAUCGUCCCCAAGGAGGCGCGGGGAUGGACCACGGCAACACAUGUUCCUCUCCGCCUCAUAAAACAACAAAAGUCAAACUAACGGCGCUGUGCACCAUGCUGUGUAGAGUAUCACUCCAAGUCGUCUUCCCCCUCCUACCACAUACCUGCCGGCGACGCAGUCAGCCAUCAUUCAGGUGUGUCAUUAGCCUGCCCUGGCUGUUAAACGUAGUCGUUUUGAACGACUACGUUUACAAAACGGACUCACAACAAGCGGUGAAGGCUUCUAGAUAGCCUGUGAGGUUCAAAGGUGCCGUGGUGAGGCAGAAUACAGGACGGAAAGAUCUGUCUCUAAUCAGCGCGUGGAAGCAUACAGCGCGCCACAGGCAGCCCGGGGCCACGGGAGGGGAGCACAGCCUGAUUAGUUCCAAAAGCUCCUCAGAUAUAAAUAGUCUUAAAACGAAGAGAUGAGAUAAAGUUGAGACGCGGGCCACUCUCAUGCAUUUCAUCAAUCAGGUUUGGUUUUACAGUCGCACAGGUGUGACACAGACGAGUGACCAAUUGCGUUCGUAAAGAUGCACGCAUUGUCCUGCACGCGUAUAGACACACAAACUUCAAGUGUAGCAAGAAGAAAGCGGGGCUAUGGCGGAGCGUGUCCAGGGAGAGUCUAGAAUGUGCUUGCAUUCUCUCUGUGGAAUGGUGUACGUGACAAGGGGCCUCUGAUCCGCUCACUCCCCCGCAAACACAAAGGAAUGUGUGGCAAGGCGCAAAUAUGAAACACAAGUGUUUCUGGAGGAAAGAAAAUCCAACCCCCAUGGACAGUGAGCACACGUCUGCCAGCAUUAGGUUAUCCCGCUUCCCCUGAGCCUGACUUCAUCUUAAGUGUUCUGAGUUUGUGAUUGGCCCGCUGCCAGCGGUGUUUAUCGGUUAAUUAGGCAGAGCAGAUCGAUCCGCUCAGUACCGGAGUCAGCGGGCCACGGCGGAACCAUCUCAGCGUGGAUCCAACAGCGAUACUCCUCAAGGCCUGUCUAAUGGGGCAUGACCCAGGGAUGCGCUGGGACCAGAGUUGAUGCAGACAACACAUCCAACCUUGACCUCUAUGACAGAUGGGAAUCCAUGUUCACUUCGUUGCUUUUCCAUUUUUGUGAAUUAUGUUUAAACAUGGCAGAUGUCACUAAUGGGGAAGAAUAUUUUGUGUCAAUCAACAUUUUUCCACUGACCAAACUAUCAAAAAUGUUGAAUGUCAGUUGUUGACACAGUAUGAUGUAUUAUGUGUCACGAUUCUCACGAAGAACAAAUAACCUGCAUUCGUGAGAAUUCAAGCUGAAGUAUAACUUCACAAGAUUAAUUCGGUGAGGAGGAAGUAUUAUUGGUACAUUCCUGGCUGCCAAAGCAAGUUGGAUUCUUCUUUUGGGGGGGGGGGGGAACAUUAAAGUAGGCCGUUACAAACAGAUUCCAGGGGAGGUCAACAGCCCUCUGGGUGAGGGGGGGGCUCCACUCUGAAAUAUCACACAUGUUUUCAGUGCACUAUAGAACAUGGAGUCCAGCCAAAAGGGGCUAUUUAUAAACCUGAGUGUAAGUGAAUGGGGCCCCCAGCAGCCUGCACGAGGAGCAGGUGGUGAUGAAGACCGACGCUGAGGCCGCUUGUUUUCAGAUUGCAACAUGAAGACCUGUCCUUCGUUGCCAUGCGAGCAGCCUGAGGUCUUUAUGGGCCCCAUGUGGGGGUCAUUUGUUCAGCCUACGGGGAAGUGUUCUGAACUAACCACCCUGUGGCCGCCUUGGUCGGGUGGCAUCUCCUGUAGGUACAUGCGGCAGGUCGGAGAUUGUUGUUGAACAAACUAAAGGUUCUUGGACCAGCACUGAGUGCCUUCUCCAUCAUGGAGUCGUGAUUGGUCCUCAGACAAUAUAACCUGGGGCUCAGAAGAGAUGGAUCAGCUUCUCCAUUAUUAACAAACACAAAGUUAGAGGUGAGGCUGAAACGCGGUUCUCUCUGAGCCAUUUCAGUCUUGGCAUGAUGGAUGCUCCCAUAUGCUGUUGCUGGAUUUAAGUCAAAUAUUUUGGAAUAUCUCAUACAUGUUUAGAGAUGUCAUAUUUAAUUUAUGUCUGACCAAAAAAUGAAAUACAAAAUAAUGAAAAGAUUCUGGGUCAAUUAUUGUGGAACUGAACAUUAUCAUCGGUGAUGUUGUGUGAUGGAUCGUUUCCGCGGUGAAGAUGAGAUGGACUGAGUUUUUUACCAUGAGUUUGUGUUUCAUGGAUUAAUUCAUAUAAAUCACAGGACCUCCCCCAUCCAGAUGCACAAAAUAUACUCUUUGUUUUUUUCUACUUUUGAGAUGUCAGUACACACAAGUACCUGCGUUUGUUACACCAAUGAUGAAAGUACUAGGGACGGAACCCUGCGGUGGAUCUUACUGCAGUCCUCAGUACGUCCCUGCCCUGACACACCUGGCAGGGACUACUGCAUCUGGCCCUACUUGUACUCCUGAAUUGUAAUGCACUUGUAUUGUUGUAAUGGUGGCCAAACUUUAAUGCAAGUUGCUUUGAAUUAACGCUUCUGUUGUAAUAACAAUGUCAAUUCCCUUUUCAUUUAGCAGACUUCCAGCAGCAGGUCUGGGCAACGUGCUGGGACGCCUGUAUGUUUUGGACAUCAGUGAUCUAACCCAAUGCCUUCAGCUGGGACUCAAGACACCAGUGGGUUUCUAACCCAAUGCCUGGGGCUCAGACACCAGUGGGGAUCUAACCCAAUGCCUUCAGCUGGGACUCAGACCUCCCGAGGCCAUGAAGGGAGGCAAUCAUAUUUGUCAUGUAUUGUGGUAACCUUUUUCACCAACCUAGAAUAUACGUCAAAUGGAUUAAUAAUCAAUCUUUUUAAUGUUUAAUGCGAAUUGGAUAAAAGCGUCUUCUAAAUGCCCUAAAUGCAAAUGUAAAUGAGUUGAAUAUGUCCAAUAAACCUGGAUUUGAAGUGAGUCUAAGAUCAUACCUGCAGCAUACAGGUGGUACGGUCUACUCUGUAGGAUGUCCCUACCUGCAGCACACAGGUGGUACGGUCUACUAGGAUGUCCCUACCUGCAGCAUACUGGUGGUACGGUCUACUCUGUAGGACGUCCCUACCUGCAGCACACAGGUGGU